rnacentral:rRNA from 1 species
AGAGUGAACGCUGGCGGCAGGCCUAACACAUGCAAGUCGAACGGCAGCGGGCAGUAGCAAUACUGUGCCGGCGAGUGGCGGACGGGUGAGGAAUACAUCGGAAUCUACCUUGUCGUGGGGGAUAACGUAGGGAAACUUACGCUAAUACCGCAUACGAACCAUGGUUGAAAGCGGCGGACCGCAAGGCGUCGCGCGAUUGGAUGAGCCGAUGUCCGAUUAGCUAGUUGGCGGGUAAAGGCCCACCAAGGCGACGAUCGGUAGCUGGUCUGAGAGGAUGAUCAGCCACACUGGAACUGAGACACGGUCCGGACUCCUACGGGAGGCAGCAGGUGGGGAAUAUUGGACAAGUGGGGGCAACCCUGAUCCAGCCAUGCCGCGUGUGUGAAGAGGCCUUCGGUUGUAAGCUACUUUGUAGGGAAGAAAGCACUUGGUUAAUACCGUUGU